CCGGGGCGCGCGCUCGGACAUCUGCAAGCUUCGGCUCGGUGACGAGGCUAUCCAAACAGCCCUUUAUAGCCGUUGCCAUCGCAUCCUUCCUAGAGUGCCGCAGCCUCUUCUCUCUCCCGUCUGUUUAUUUGAUUCAAGAUCCAGGAGAGUUGCACACUUUGAAGUUAAUUGAUGCUUCCUCACUGCCGCCAUCUUGGAUCGCGUGCUGUGCGCAGACUGCACACGGCUCACUGCCGCCAUGUUGGAUUGAGUGUCCAGCCGGGCUUUUUACCGCCUGGAGCUGAGGUGCCAGGGCAGCCAUGCUCCGCAGGGAGCUCUGGGCCGAAGACACGGGUGUGAGGCCUCUGCAUGCAGCCCCCAAUGAGCUGGAGAGACCAGACUCAGUACAGAG